GCGCCCGUAGCUCAGGGGAUAGAGCGGACGCCUCCGGAGCGUCAGGCCGCAGGUUCGAAUCCUGCCGGGCGCG
rnacentral:tRNA from 1 species